UCCGAGUUGACCCCGGCAGUCUCCUGUGAGUCCCCAUCACCCCGAAAGGCAUGCUGGCAACACAGAACAAGGGUUGCGCUCGUUGCGGGACUUAACCCAACAUCUCACGACACGAGCUGACGACAGCCAUGCACCACCUGUACACCGACCACAAGGGGGCGACCAUCUCUGGCCGUUUCCGGUGUAUGUCAAACCCAGGUAAGGUGGGGAUGACGUAGCUAAGCCUUC
rnacentral:misc_RNA from 1 species